rfam:Triticum aestivum genome assembly, contig: Triticum_aestivum_CS42_TGACv1_scaffold_131119_2BL
AUAUUACUCCCUCCCGUCCCAAAAUUCUAGUCUUAAAUUUGUCUAGAUACGGAUGUGUCUAACACUAAAACGUAACUAGAUACAUCUGUAUUUAGACAAAUCUAAGACAAAAAAUUUAGGACGGAGGGAGUACAUC